rnacentral:antisense_RNA from 1 species
GUUGCCAUGCAGAAUGUCUAUUGAUCAGCUGGGCACAUCUGCACACAUUUACAAUAUCUGCCACCUCUUUUAACCCUCAACCCCGCCCCACAAAAUGAGUGAUGGUGCUUGUUGAUUUGCAGAUUCACGGUCUGGUGAGACAAGUUUGAGAUCUCAUAUUUUCAGCUCACCCUUGAAAACCUUUCUUGGAUUUGACUGACCUUGAUGGCUCCCUGGAAUUUCACCUACAUUUUAUGGGAACUUCAACUCUCCAGAGAGAAGAGCUUUCAGAUAGCUACAGGACUUGCAACUAUGACUUUUAGCUUUCACUUUUGAAUGAGGCUCCAAAUGUCUCAAUGGUGGCGCUAUUUCCAGAUUUGGGACAUUAAGUUUUGCAAAAUUAAAUGACUACAUUUACAGUCAUGGAGGAGAGACACUGCCUCAACUCAGUUUCUUCUGAUAUAUCUUUGAAACAGAGCCCUGCAAAGCUAAUCUGCUCAACCUUCACCUACUGGGUUCAAUGAAUAUGAAAAGCUGCCUUCCUGAAACUCUUCCUUCAAAGAGGAAAUGAUCUCCUGGAAUUCAAGCUUCUACAAGAAAACUGUGUGCAGGCCCAAGGAGAACAACUACAUGAAAUAAACCUUAUGUCUUCAGUUACAAUAA